GGAGGAAGCCUUGGAAAAAGUUAUUAAAGCUUCUGAAAAGAAACACGAGGAACAUGAAAAGAAACUUAAUCAAAUGGAGCUGAGUAUACAAAGUCAGAAUGCAUCGAUCAAGAAUAUGGAAAAUCAAUUGGGACAGAUAGCACAUGCGUUGAACAAUCGUCUUCAAUACACUUGGCUCUAUGACAUGGAUAACGACACUGAUGAUGAGCCCGAUGGUGAGCCCGAGCCAAAUCUACAACAGGAUGAGCCACGAGAUGAAAAAGAGGAGACAAGUGGGGAUAAUGACAACAAGGUCGGUGAAGAACUAAUUGUGAGAACCAAUGAUGAUGAGCCAAUG
rnacentral:lncRNA from 1 species